AAGUCGUAACAAGGUCUCCGUAGGUGAACCUGCGGAGGGAUCAUUAACAAAAAAUCAAAAAAAAAAAUGAAAAACAAAUAAACAGCAAUCACUCGCAAGAGGCGGCCGCUGCUUGUUUCUUUCUUUUUUUUUUUAAUUCAAAAACACUUUGCGAACCAUGUGACUGACCAAGUUGUAAUUGUUUUUAUUUAACAAUUCACUUGGCUUUUUUUUCACUAACAACCAAUUUCACCAAAUUUUUUCUUCUGCAUAUGGAAUUUUUUUCCAAGCACAGAAAAAGCCAAUUGAAUAUCAAAAACUGAAAAGUUGAAAAUUUAAUUUCUAAUUUUUUCUUUUUCACAAAAUAAAAAAACAAAAUUAAAGCACAACUCUUAGCAACGGAUAUCUUGGUUCUC
rnacentral:misc_RNA from 1 species